UACGUUCCCGGGCCUUGUACACACCGCCCGUCACACCAUGGGAGUUGAUUGCUCCAGAAAUGCCCAAAAGGCCUUAAGGAGUGCUCAAUGACUGGGGUG
rnacentral:rRNA from 1 species